AUUGAACGCUGGCGGCAGGCCUAACACAUGCAAGUCGAACGAGUGGCGGACGGGUGAGUAAUGUCUGGGAAACUGCCUGAUGUAGGGGGAUAACUCCUGUAAACGGUACCUCUUACCGCAUACCCUCGUCUUUGCCCAGAUGGGAUUAGCUAGUAGGUGGGGUAAAGGCUCACCUAGGCGACGAUCCCUAGCUGGUCUGAGAGGAUGACCAGCCACACUGGAACUGAGACACGGUCCAGACUCCUACGGGAGGCAGCAGUGGGGAAUAUUGCACAAUGGGCGAAAGCCUGAUGCAGCCAUGCCGCGUGUAUGAAGAAGGCCUUCGGGUUGUAAAGUACUUUCAGCGGGGAGGCGUUACCCGCAGAAGAAGCACCGGCUAACUCCGUGCCAGCAGCCGCGGUAAUAC
rnacentral:rRNA from 1 species